rnacentral:rRNA from 1 species
UACGAAGGGGGCUAGCGUUGUUCGGAUUUACUGGGCGUAAAGCGCACGUAGGCGGCUCUCUAAGUCGGAGGUGAAAUCCCAAGGCUCAACCUUGGAACUGCCUUUGAUACUGGGGAUCUUGAGUCCGGGAGAGGUGAGUGGAACUGCGAGUGUAGAGGUGAAAUUCGUAGAUAUUCGCAAGAACACCAGUGGCGAAGGCGGCUUACUGGUCCGGAUCUGACGCUGAGGCGCGAAAGCGUGGGGAGCAAACAGG